GUUUAUCCAACGAAUGUGGAUUUUAAAGGGCGAGUACGACAAGUCUGGUCCAUCCAUUGUCCACAAGAAGUGCUUCUAAGUGAACUCAGGUCUGCUGUUAUAGGCAAGUCUUCGAGAUGGGGCUAUACCGCUGAUACUAUUUCAUGUUUCCAGUGCAAGCCUCUUUUGUAAGUAGACAAACUCGAUUUGUAAAUAUGUUUGGGACUCAACUAGUGGUUAGAGUACUGACUUUGUAAGAUUUGUGUACGGAAAAUCAAAUUAGAAAGAUAACUCGUGAUGAUUGAAUAAGCUCGAAGAAGUGGAUCUGAAUUUCAAAUCGUGUCUUUUUUUUAUGUGUGUGUGUGAGAAAUUUGAAGCGUUGUUUAGAUUUGUUGGAAUAGUCUAAAGAGAUUGUCUCUAUAAAAUUUGAAGACAUUUGAUGGAGAUCUGAUUAGAUGAUUUUGAACAACAAUUGCAACUGAA